UGGGUGAGAAGUAAGGUUUCAGCUAGCAUGACCCUCUAACUUUUCCAGAGGAAGAGCUGCUCCCUGUGAAGGAUGUCAAAGCUCUGUUUGUAUCUGAGGAAGGGAAGAAGCUGACUCGGAAGGAGGUGUACAUCAAGAAUGGGGACAAGAAAGCCAGUUGUGAGAGAGAUGCUACCAAGGCCCAAGGCUAUGAGAAGGUCAAAGCUGCCUCGGAGGUGGUCACCCCCAGGUUCCUUUGCACAGGAGGGGUGGACCCCUAUGCCGACCCCAACACAUGCAAAGGAGACUCCGGGGGCCCUCUCAUUGUUCACAAGAGAAGUCGCUUCAUUCAAGUUGGUGUCAUCAGCUGGGGAGUAGUGGAUGUCUGCAAAGACCGCCUGAGGCGGCCACGGCAGAUCCCCUCGUAUGCCCGGGACUUCCACGUCAAUCUCUUCCAGGUGCUGCCCUGGCUAAAGGACAAGCUCAAAGAUGAGGAUCUGGGUUUCCUAUAGAGCGUCCUGCUGGGAGGGGGUGAGGACAAAUUAAAGCAGCUACAAUAAAAAGUC